rnacentral:tRNA from 1 species
GGUGGGGGCUCAGUUGGUAGAGUGCUUGCCUUGCAUGCACAAGACCCUGGGUUCAAUCCCCAGCACCA